ACCCCCCGACGGGACCCACCUUGGCGUGGUGGGGGGGGCUCACCGAUUCAUUCGGUGCUAAGAGGUAC
rnacentral:ribozyme from 1 species